UACGUAGGGUGCAAGCGUUGUCCGGAAUUAUUGGGCGUAAAGAGCUCGUAGGCGGUCAGUCGCGUCUGCUGUGAAAACCCGCGGCUCAACUGUGGGCGGGCAGCUGAUACGGGCAGGCUGGAGUUCGGUAGGGGAGACUGGAAUUCCUGGUGUAGCGGUGAAAUGACGCAGAUAUCAGGAGGAACACCGGUGGCGAAGGCGGGUCUCUGGGCCGAUACUGACGCUGAGGAGCGAAAGCGUGGGGAGCGAACAGG
rnacentral:rRNA from 1 species